rnacentral:rRNA from 1 species
AAUCUUCCGCAAUGGACGAAAGUCUGACGGAGCAACGCCGCGUGAGUGAUGAAGGUUUUCGGAUCGUAAAACUCUGUUGUUAGGGAAGAACAAGUACCAUUCGUAUAGGGUGGUACCGUGACGGUACCUAACCAGAAAGCCACGGCUAACUACGUGCCAGCAGCCGCGGUAAUACGUAGGUGGCAAGCGUUGUCCGGAAUUAUUGGGCGUAAAGCGCGCGCAGGCGGUUCCUUAAGUCUGAUGUGAAAGCCCCCGGCUCAACCGGGGAGGGUCAUUGGAAACUGGGGAACUUGAGUGCAGAAGAGAAGAGCGGAAUUCCACGUGUAGCGGUGAAAUGCGUAGAGAUGUGGAGGAACACCAGUGGCGAAGGCGGCUCUUUGGUCUGUAACUGACGCUGAGGCGCGAAAGCGUGGGGAGCAAACAGG